CGGGGCCAGGCUUUGCAGAGGAAUGAAGUGGACGAGAAUUCCAGAAGAAAAAAAUAAGAAAAGAAGAAGAGGAAAGAAAGAGGACCUCCUUCUUCGAGGAGCUCUCGCGCAGAGAGGUGCUGGGUCCAUGCAGUACACCAAACUUUUGAUCGUCGAUAAGUCGUUAAGCGCGAUUCAAUGCUGCUGUUGGGGACAGUCACUAGGUGAGAGUGUGUGAUAGCUCACCUCUCUCUUUCACUCCCCUCAUCUCUCUCUCUCUCUCUCUCUCUCUUGCAAAUCGGGACUGUGGAUCUUCAUAAUUCUUUGGUGGUUUUUUUGUUUCUCCACUUUGAGUUGGAGAUCAUCGCAUCGUUUUCUUGAGGGACCCUCAUCAUGUGUCGUGUGUCAGGUAUCAGCAAACUUUGUGACCAACGCGGAGAUGUUUGUUCUUUCCCAACUCUAAACAGAAUCUAUAGCUUCUCAUUAAAGAA